AUACGGAGGAUCCAAGCGUUAUCCGGAAUCAUUGGGUUUAAAGGGUCCGUAGGCGGGUUUGUAAGUCAGUGGUGAAAGUUUUCGGCUCAACCGGAAAAUUGCCAUUGAUACUGCAAGUCUUGAAUUAUUGUGAAGCGAUUAGGAUGUGUAGUGUAGCGGUGAAAUGCAUAGAUAUUACACAGAAUACCGAUUGCGAAGGCAGAUCACUAACAAUAUAUUGACGCUAAGGGACGAAAGCGUGGGUAGCGAACAGGAUUAGAAACCCUAGUAGUCC
rnacentral:rRNA from 1 species